AGGACGAACGCUGGCGGCGUGCUUAACACAUGCAAGUCGAGCGGUAAGGCCUUUCGGGGUACACGAGCGGCGAACGGGUGAGUAACACGUGGGUGAUCUGCCCUGCACUCUGGGAUAAGCCUGGGAAACUGGGUCUAAUACCGGAUAUGACCUGCUCUCGCAUGGGGGGUGGGUGGAAAGAUUUAUCGGUGCAGGAUGGGCCCGCGGCCUAUCAGCUUGGUUGGUGGGGUAAUGGCCUACCAAGGCGACGACGGGUAGCCGACCUGAGAGGGUGACCGGCCACACUGGGACUGAGACACGGCCCAGACUCCUACGGGAGGCAGCAGUGGGGAAUAUUGCACAAUGGGCGAAAGCCUGAUGCAGCGACGCCGCGUGAGGGAUGGAAGGCCUUUCGGGUUGUAAACCUCUUUCAGCAGGACGAAGCGCAAGUGACGUACCUGCAGAAGAAGCACGCUAACUACGUGCCAAGCAGCCGC
rnacentral:rRNA from 1 species